rnacentral:rRNA from 1 species
CCUACGGGAGGCAGCAGUGGGGAAUCUUGCACAAUGGAGGAAACUCUGAUGCAGCGAUGCCGCGUGAGUGAAGAAGGCCUUUGGGUUGUAAAGCUCUUUUGUAGGGGAAGAUAAUGACUGUACCCUAAGAAUAAGGUCCGGCUAACUUCGUGCCAGCAGCCGCGGUAAUACGAAGGGACCUAGCGUAGUUCGGAAUUACUGGGCGUAAAGCGCGCGUAGGCCGUUGGGUUAGUUAAUUGUGAAAUCCCAAAGCUUAACUUUGGAACUGCAAUUAAAACUGCUCGACUAGAGUUUGAUAGAGGAAAGCGGAAUACAUAGUGUAGAGGUGAAAUUCGUAGAUAUUAUGUAGAACACCAGUUGCGAAGGCGGCUUUCUGGAUCAACACUGACGCUGAGGCGCGAAAGUAUGGGUAGCAAAGAGGAUUAGAUACCCUCGUAGUCCAUACCAUAAACGAUGAUUGCUAGAUGUUGGAAAUUUAUUUUCAGUAUCGCAGCUAACGCAUUAAGCAAUCCGCCUGGGGAGUACGACCGCAAGGUUAAAACUCAAAGGAAUUGACGGCUGAGACGNGCGACGACGACGACGAGGAGAGG